rnacentral:rRNA from 1 species
CCUACGGGAGGCAGCAGUGGGGAAUAUUGCACAAUGGGGGAAACCCUGAUGCAGCGACGCCGCGUGAGUGAAGAAGUAAUUCGUUAUGUAAAGCUCUAUCAGCAGGGAAGAAAAUGACGGUACCUGAGUAAGAAGCCCCGGCUAACUACGUGCCAGCAGCCGCGGUACUACGUAGGGGCCAAGCGUUAUCCGGAUUUACUGGGUGUAAAGGGAGCGUAGACGGCAGUGCAAGUCUGGAGUGAAAGGCGGGGGCUCAACCCCCGGACUGCUCUGGAAACUGUACGGCUGGAGUGCAGGAGAGGUAAGUGGAAUUCCUAGGGUAGCGGUGAAAUGCGUAGAGAUUAGGAGGAACACCAGUGGCGAAGGCGGCUUACUGGACUGUAACUGACGUUGAGGCUCGAAAGCGUGGGGAGCAAACAGGAUUAGAUACCCCAGUAGUC